GACGAACCGAGCGAACGUUGUUCGGAAUCACUGGGCUUAAAGGGCGCGUAGGCGGUUCGUUAAGUCCUGUGUGAAAUCCCCCGGCUCAACUGGGGAACUGCACAGGAAACUAGCGGGCUUGAGUUCGGGAGAGGGAAGCGGAAUUCCGGGUGUAGCGGUGAAAUGCGUAGAUAUCCGGAGGAACACCGGUGGCGAAGGCGGCUUCCUGGACCGACACUGACGCUGAGGCGCGAAAGCUAGGGGAGCAAACGGG
rnacentral:rRNA from 1 species